AAAAAAAAAAAAAAAGUAAAAAAAGAAAAAAAGAGAGAGCUUGUUGGUGAAGCGUUCGAAGCUCAGAAACCCCAAUUGGCCAUAGCAAGGACCAAAGCCCUUGUUCUUCUUCUUUCCUCACAUGCUUAGUAUUCGAUCUCAUCUAUAACCGUAAAUUGAGCGAUAAACAUGCCGGACGUGCAAGCCCUUGUAAAUGAAUUCCUUAUUAAGCUCAAAAAACGUAAAAUCGAGGGCUCACAGGCCACGGCAAGGCAGACAGCUGAAUUGCUUCGGUCACUGAUUUCACAGCAGCGAGUUCCCUACACUAAUCAAGCUGGAGCUUUGAUUGAUGCUGUAAAGGCUGUUGGAGAGCAGCUGAUUGCUGCAAACCCUGUUGAGCUUGCAGUGGGUAAUAUUGUGAGGCGUGUUUUACACAUUAUUAGGGAGGAGGAUCUUUCUCUCACUACAGCAGCCAUGGCAGGGUUGAACUUAUCAGCUGUAAGUGAUGAUGAAGAUGAUGCAGACCAUGAUGAUCAUCCAGUUCUAUCUGCCGCUGCUGUUGCUGCUGCUGCAAGAAGCACAUUGCGUGCUCCUUCCUUGCAAACCCUUCUUGAGGAUGUAACUGAUGCAGCUGCUGUACCUCACCCUUCUUCAUCUGGGGGUGAUUCUGAGGGAAAAAGCAAAUCCGCUGAUAAAAGUUCAAGAAGUCGGAAGCUGAAGCAUGAUGUUAUUGAGGCAGUCAAUGAACUUAUUGAAGAUAUUUGCACUUGCCAUGAACAGAUUGCUGAGCAAGCAGUCGAGCAUAUUCACCAGAAUGAAGUAAUAUUAACUUUGGGCAGUUCAAGAACAGUGCUGGAGUUCCUUUGUGCUGCCAAAGAGAAAAAACGAUCUUUUCGGGUAUUUGUGGCGGAAGGAGCUCCUAGGUAUCAAGGACAUCUUCUGGCAAAAGAAUUAGUUGCAAGAGGUUUACAAACCACACUGAUUACUGAUUCGGCAGUUUUUGCGAUGAUAUCCCGUGUGAACAUGGUUAUAGUUGGUGCUCAUGCUGUCAUGGCCAAUGGUGGGGUUGUAGCACCUGUUGGGUUGAAUAUGGUUGCACUUGCUGCUCAAAGGCAUGCUGUACCUUUUGUGGUACUUGCUGGCAGUCACAAGUUGUGCCCUUUGUAUCCACACAAUCCUGAGGUCUUGUUGAACGAGCUGAGGUCCCCUUCUGAGCUGCUGGAUUUCGGAGAAUUCUCAGAUUGCAUGGAUUUUGGAAAUGGGACUGGUUCGCCUCUUCUUCAUGUUGUCAAUCCAACAUUUGACUAUGUACCACCAAAGCUCGUUAAUUUAUUUAUCACUGACACACGGUUUACAAGUAAUCCCUUUUCUUCAUCCACAGAGGAGGGCAUAAUCCAUCAUAUAUGUAUCGGCUCAUCGCAGAUUAUUAUUCUGCUGAUGAUUUAGUGGUGCAGCGAAGACCGGCUACAGGGAGUUGAGGUUUGCUCCCAUUAUUAUCAACUUUAGGUAGUACAAAAAGCUACCUCGGUAGAAGAGAGGAUGAUAGAACAUGAAAAAGAACAGUACAGCAUGGAGAUCUGGGCUAGUGUUAACUCCUAGAAUGAAUGUCCGAAAAACCAAAAGUUGGGGGUUAGCACAUAAAACCUGGGAGUAGGCUGGGAGGACAAUGAAAUAGUGAAAUAGCCAAUUUUGUGUUUGUGGCAUUUAGGUAGCAAUUGUACCGAUGAGAACACUGAAUCAAAGUGAAAGGUGAUUUUUGUGAUUGUUUGUGGACUGGGGAGGAGCACAAUCCUGUAUUCUGUAACAAAAUGAGUGGCAUAUAAAUAGACAACAAUCAUUAGUAUUCAUUUAGAUGAUCUUGCAGCAUUUUGAACCUGUUUCAUGCCCUAUUAUCUGUUGAUGUGUUGACGUAACAUUUUCAGUUAAUUAUUAGUCAAGCAUUUGGUA